rnacentral:rRNA from 1 species
GUGAACGCUGGCGGUAGGCCUAACCCCUGCAAGUCGAACGGCAGCACAGUAAGCGCUUGCUCUUACGGGUGGCGAGUGGCGGACGGGUGAGGAAUACAUCGGAAUCUACUUUUUCGUGGGGGAUAACGUAGGGAAACUUACGCUAAUACCGCAUACGACCUACGGGUGAAAGCAGGGGAUCUUCGGACCUUGCGCGAUUGAAUGAGCCGAUGUCGGAUUAGCUAGUUGGCGGGGUAAAGGCCCACAAGGCGACGAUCCGUAGCUGGUCUGAGAGGAUGAUCAGCCACACUGGAACUGAGACACGGUCCAGACUCCUACGGGAGGCAGCAGUGGGGAAUAUUGGACAAUGGGCGCAAGCCUGAUCCAGCCAUACCGCGUGGGUGAAGAAGGCCUUCGGGUUGUAAAGCCCUUUUGUUGGGAAAGAAAAGCAGCAGGUUAAUACCCCGCUGUUCUGACGGUACCCAAAGAAUAAGCACCGGCUAACUUCGUG